rnacentral:tRNA from 1 species
GCGUUGGUGAUGUAAGGCGUAGCAUCGCUGCCCGGAAAGCAAAAGAUGCGGGUUCGAGUCCCGCUUAGCGCA